AAAGCGGUACGCGAGCUGGGUUCAGAACGUCGUGAGACAGUUCGGUCCCUAUCCGGCGCGGGCGGAGGAUAUUUGAGAGGAGCUGUCCUUAGUACGAGAGGACCGGGAUGGACGGACCACUGGUGUAUCUGUUGUCGACCAACGGCAUGGCAGAGUAGCCAAGUCUGGAAGGGAUAAACGCUGAAGGCAUCUAAGCGUGAAGCCCCCCUCAAGAUGAGAUAUCCCUCCUUCGGGAGUAAGACCCCUUGAAGACUACAAGGUAGAUAGGGCAGAGGUGGAAGCAUGGCAACAUGUGGAGCUGACUGUUACUAAUAGGUCGAGGGCUUAAUCUG
rnacentral:rRNA from 1 species